AUGAUAGAUGAGCUCCUGGAUGAAUUACAUGGUGCUCAAUGGUUUACAAAACUGGAUCUCAGGGCUGGUUAUCAUCAAAUUAGAUUAGCUCCUGGAGAGGAAUACAAGACAGCAUUUCAAACCCACCAUGGGCACUUUGAGUUCCUGGUUGUUGGUUUUGGUUUGACAGGGGCACCUAACACUUUCCAAGGUGCCAUCAAUGUUUCCCUGUCACAAGAACCUGAGAUGCUGAGAACUUUUGUGAUGGCCUUCUUUGAUGAUAUUCUGAUUUUCAGUAAAACACUGAGCAGCACUUGGAUCAUGUUAGAAGGGUGUUGGAAGUACUCAGCAAGGACACGUGGUAUGUGA
rnacentral:rRNA from 1 species